GACGAACGCUGGCGGCGUGCUUAACACAUGCAAGUCGAACGGUAAGGCCCUUCGGGGUACACGAGUGGCGAACGGGUGAGUAACACGUGGGUGAUCUGCCCUGCACUUCGGGAUAAGCCUGGGAAACUGGGUCUAAUACCGGAUAGGACCACUGCCUGCAUGGGGGGUGGUGGAAAGCUUUUGCGGUGUGGGAUGGGCCCGCGGCCUAUCAGCUUGUUGGUGGGGUGAUGGCCUACCAAGGCGACGACGGGUAGCCGGCCUGAGAGGGUGACCGGCCACACUGGGACUGAGGUACGGCGCAGACUCCUACGGGAGGCAGCAGGGGGGAGUAUUGCACAAUGGGCGCAAGCCUGAUGCAGCGACGCCGCGUGAGGGAUGACGGCCUUCGGGUUGUAAACCUCUUUCAGCACCGACGAAGCGCAAGUGACGGUAGGUGCAGAAGAAGGACCGGCCAACUACGUGCCAGCAGCCGCCGUAA
rnacentral:rRNA from 1 species